rnacentral:rRNA from 1 species
GGGGAAUAUUGCACAAUGGGCGCAAGCCUGAUGCAGCGACGCCGCGUGAGGGAUGAAGGCCUUCGGGUUGUAAACCUCUUUCGUCAGGGAACAAGGCACUGCUUUUUUGGUGGUGUUGAGGGUACCUGGAUAAGAAGCGCCGGCUAACUACGUGCCAGCAGCCGCGGUAAUACGUAGGGCGCAAGCGUUGUCCGGAAUUAUUGGGCGUAAAGAGCUCGUAGGCGGCUGGUCGCGUCUGUCGUGAAAACUUCCGGCUCAACCGGGGGCUUGCGGUGGGUACGGGCCGGCUAGAGUGCGGUAGGGGUAACUGGAACUCCUGGUGUAGCGGUGGAAUGCGCAGAUAUCAGGAAGAACACCGAUGGCGAAGGCAGGUUACUGGGCCGUUACUGACGCUGAGGAGCGAAAGCGUGGGGAGCGAACAGGAUUAGAUACCCUGGUAGUCCACGCCGUAAACGUUGGGCACUAGGUGUGAGGCUCCUUUCCGGGGGUUUUGCGCCGUAGCUAACGCAUUAAGUGCCCCGCCUGGGGAGUACGGCCGCAAGGCUA